GCACACAUCCCCACAGGUUUUCUCAUCUUUCUCAUCUCAUAUAUUUUAUAGAAAAUUAAUUAUGAAUACCAUGAAAGCCUUUUUGUUGAUGUUACUGUUUUUCACCUAUGCUGCUGCGGCUACUGAUAAUAAGCCAUUUGAAGCUGAUGCAACACAAGGAAGCAUAACAAAAGUGUUGGAAUCAGUCCCUGGUGGAGCAGAAUAUUAUAUGUUGGGUAAAGGAGGAGAGCUCAGCACAUGCCAUCACCUUUGCUUUAUUGGCAUCUUAGUCUAUUGUUGCGAUUCUUACUCCCUUCCACGUAAGAUCGCAAAAUAUGCAUAGCUCUUUCCAUCGAUAAUCUAUGCAUCACCUGCCCCAGCUUCCAUCACUACAUAUAUAAGAGUUAUGAAAUAAAGUACAGAGUAUUUUUAUCUCUAUACCUCUGUAUACACCAUGUUAUAUGUACGUGUACGUCUUGUAUUGUACGUGUCUUCCAUGCAUGUGCCUUACGAUAUCUUGUAAUGUUACACUUUUGUUAUCAAUGUUAUGUAUUUUCAAUUCAUAUAAAUUAAUAGUGUGUUCUAGCUA